GUAUUGAUUGCGUGUGACCGCAAAGAUAACAUUCUACACUGUAUCAAGUUUUGUGUGAAAACGUGAGCUCCUUUUGCAAAAGAAGACCCACGCGGUGAUGCACAAAGGGGUGAGAUGGAUGUGUGAGGGCACUCGGGCGUGCACAACCUUUGAAAGGUUAGCGACAGCCUUUGCACCCCCGUUUUACGAUAAUGAUCCUUCCGCAGGUUCACCUACGGAAA
rnacentral:misc_RNA from 1 species